UUUCUAACCAGGCUUCCAAGGAAACAACUCUUAGAAAACUUUUGAACGUUUUCUUGGCGAGAGGCGUAAGGUCGCCAAGGUCCCGUCAAAUGCAACAUCCUCCUCUGGCAAACGGGACUUCGAAGGUUUCUCAACAAAAGUGGCUUCGCACUUCCUCUGUUGAAAUCAGGCCCUGAAAUUGCAAAGAUGCCACAGCCCCAUUCCUGUGGUUCCGCACUGCUGUAAAUUGGUGACAGUACCCUCUGAACUCUACUGCCUCCCAAGAAGGACACCCAUCACAAUCAACUCCUCCCCCACUACCAAUGGUAAUGGGAGUGGCAGCCUUAGUGAGAACACAGUGAAAGAACAGCAUCAUACACACAGCAUACAGCGCAGAAAUAUACAAGCACAAGGUACACAAAUUUGAAAAGGGGAGGGAUAUGGUAGAGGAGGGUGGAGCAGGAACAGAAGCACACACAAAUUACACCAGGGAGUGGGGGGAGUGGAGGCAGCCAUGCUGUCCUCAAAGGAGUGUAUAAAGGAAGUUUGCAAAGUCUCUCCUUGGUUUGAAGCUCUCAGAACUGUAUACAAAAACUAAGACUCCCAAUUAGUAGACAAGCCUGUACAAAAAUCAGGAUUGGGGGAAAUAGGGAGGGAGGGCAGAUUUUUUUUAAAACUUACAAUUUUAUUUUAUUUCUUUAAAAAAGCCCAAAAUACUGAGGGCAGGGUAUGUAUGAGGACUGCAAUUUCCUUUAAGAGCAGGUUGGGGCAAAACAGCCCAUGCCUAAAGAUUGACCAAAAGGACAAGUUCCCUUCCAGAUAACUGCAGAAUAUUUUUCUAACGUAUUCCAGAAAAUUUAAAACCCUACAUAAUCUCUUGCCAUAUUGGCUUUCUGGGAUCUUCAGGCAAAACAGAAUUACUGCUCUGCCAUCUCUAAGACAGUCAAGAUGAACCACUUAAAAUUCAACCCACAAAAAUCAUAGCUGCCCCAAUGUGAGUCAUGACAUUGUCCACAAGACUCUAAGACUCUCCUGCUAAAAUUGAACCUUCUUGAUGCCCCUUAUAGGAAACUGAAUGAUAAAAGGCGCCUUAGACCAGAUUUUUCCUGCCCAUCUUAAGUAAUCAGUCCUGUGGCCUCCUCCCAAGGUACUUCAUGCUGAUCCACCAAAUGGACUUGAGGCUCUAAGGGUCUGCUAUGAAUACCACUCCCUAACAGUGUUGCUUGUGGUAUCCAGGGCGCUGGAUGCAUGGACAGGGAAGGAGAAGGAAUUAAAAUUCUGCUGGGACUAAAAGCCCACUGUUCCAAUUCUGCCCUAAAGGAGACAACCAAGAGUGCAGACAGCAGGGAAUCGUGGCCAGGUUAACUGUAGACAGGCAGGCGCUGCAGUGCUCAUAGACCUUGAUACCUUGUUGGCCAGCCACUCUUCUUCACAAUUGUCCAGGUAGAAUGGUUUCGACUCAGUCUGUGGAGCACCAGCCAAGUCACGUAUAGGCCUGGC
rnacentral:lncRNA from 1 species